CAGCCGCCGCGGGAAUACGAAGGGGGCUAGCGCUGUUCGGAAUUACUGGGUGUAAAGCGCACGUAGGCGGAUACUUAAGUUAGGGGUGAAAUCCCAGGGCUCAACCCUGGAACUGCCUUUAAUACUGUUUGUCUUGAGUUCGAGAGAGGUAAGUGGAACUGCGAGUGUAGAGGUGAAAUUCGUAGACAUUCGCAAGAACACCAGUGGCGAAGGCGGCUUACUGGCUCGAAACUGACGCUGAGGCGCGAAAGCGUGGGGAGCAAACAGGAUUAGAUACCCCCGUAGUCCCUGUCUCUUAUAC
rnacentral:rRNA from 1 species